AAAUUGAAGAGUUUGAUCAUGGCUCAGAUUGAACGCUGGCGGCAGGCCUAACACAUGCAAGUCGAACGGUAACAGGAAGCAGCUUGCUGCUUUGCUGACGAGUGGCGGACGGGUGAGUAAUGUCUGGGAAACUGCCCGAUGGAGGGGGAUAACUACUGGAAACGGUAGCUAAUACCGCAUAACGUCGCAAGACCAAAGAGGGGGACCUUCGGGCCUCUUGCCAUCAGAUGUGCCCAGAUGGGAUUAGCUUGUUGGUGAGGUAACGGCUCACCAAGGCGACGAUCCCUAGCUGGUCUGAGAGGAUGACCAGCCACACUGGAACUGAGACACGGUCCAGACUCCUACGGGAGGCAGCAGUGGGGAAUAUUGCACAAUGGGCGCAAGCCUGAUGCAGCCAUGCCGCGUGUAUGAAGAAGGCCUUCGGGUUGUAAAGUACUUUCAGCGGGGAGGAAGGGGUUAAGGUUAAUAACCUUAGCCAUUGACGUUACCCGCAGAAGAAGCACCGGCUAACUCCGUGCCAGCAGCCGCGGUAAUACGGAGGGUGCAAGCGUUAAUCGGAAUUACUGGGCGUAAAGCGCACGCAGGCGGUCUGUCAAGUCGGAUGUGAAAUCCCCGGGCUCAACCUGGGAACUGCAUUCGAAACUGGCAGGCUUGAGUCUCGUAGAGGGGGGUAGAAUUCCAGGUGUAGCGGUGAAAUGCGUAGAGAUCUGGAGGAAUACCGGUGGCGAAGGCGGCCCCCUGGACGAAGACUGACGCUCAGGUGCGAAAGCGUGGGGAGCAAACAGGAUUAGAUACCCUGGUAGUCCACGCCGUAAACGAUGUCUAUUUGGAGGUUGUGCCCUUGAGGCGUGGCUUCCGGAGCUAACGCGUUAAAUAGACCGCCUGGGGAGUACGGCCGCAAGGUUAAAACUCAAAUGAAUUGACGGGGGCCCGCACAAGCGGUGGAGCAUGUGGUUUAAUUCGAUGCAACGCGAAGAACCUUACCUGGUCUUGACAUCCACAGAACUUUCCAGAGAUGGAUUGGUGCCUUCGGGAACUGUGAGACAGGUGCUGCAUGGCUGUCGUCAGCUCGUGUUGUGAAAUGUUGGGUUAAGUCCCGCAACGAGCGCAACCCUUAUCCUUUGUUGCCAGCGGUUAGGCCGGGAACUCAAAGGAGACUGCCAGUGAUAAACUGGAGGAAGGUGGGGAUGACGUCAAGUCAUCAUGGCCCUUACGACCAGGGCUACACACGUGCUACAAUGGCAUAUACAAAGAGAAGCGACCUCGCGAGAGCAAGCGGACCUCAUAAAGUAUGUCGUAGUCCGGAUUGGAGUCUGCAACUCGACUCCAUGAAGUCGGAAUCGCUAGUAAUCGUGGAUCAGAAUGCCACGGUGAAUACGUUCCCGGGCCUUGUACACACCGCCCGUCACACCAUGGGAGUGGGUUGCAAAAGAAGUAGGUAGCUUAACCUUCGGGAGGGCGCUUACCACUUUGUGAUUCAUGACUGGGGUGAAGUCGUAACAAGGUAACCGUAGGGGAACCUGCGGUUGGAUCACCUCCUUACCUUAAAGAA
rnacentral:rRNA from 1 species